rnacentral:rRNA from 1 species
AUUGAACGCUGGCGGCAUGCCUUACACAUGCAAGUCGAACGCGAAAGGGGGCAACCCUGAGUAGAGUGGCGCACGGGUGAGCAAUACAUCGGAACAUACCCAGUAGUGGGGGACAACCAGUCGAAAGACUGGCUAAUACCGCAUACGACCUACGGGUAAAAGCGGGGGACCGUAAGGCCUCGCGCUAUUGGAUUGGCCGAUGUCUGAUUAGCUAGUUGGUGAGGUAACGGCUCACCAAGGCGACGAUCAGUAGCUGGUCUGAGAGGAUGAUCAGCCACACUGGGACUGAGACACGGCCCAGACUCCUACGGGAGGCAGCAGUGGGGAAUUUUGGACAAUGGGGGCAACCCUGAUCCAGCAAUGCCGCGUGAGUGAAGAAGGCCUUCGGGUUGUAAAGCUCUUUCGGCCGGGACGAAAUCGCUCUGGUGAAUAUCCAGGGUGGAUGACGGUACCGGAAUAAGAAGCACCGGCUAACUACGUGCCAGCAGCCGCCGCCG